rnacentral:pre_miRNA from 1 species
CACAUACUACCUCCGUCCGAAAAUACUUGUCCUAGAGAUGAAUGUAUCUAGACUUAUUUUAAUUGUAGAUACAUCCAUUAUAUGCAUUUUUAGGACAAGUAUUUCCGGACGGAGGGAGUAUGUU